rnacentral:rRNA from 1 species
ACCACUUCGGUGGGGAUUAGUGGCGAACGGGUGAGUAACACGUGGGCAAUCUGCCCUGCACUCUGGGACAAGCCCUGGAAACGGGGUCUAAUACCGGAUACUGACCUUCACAGGCAUCUGUGAUGGUCGAAAGCUCCGGCGGUGCAGGAUGAGCCCGCGGCCUAUCAGCUUGUUGGUGAGGUAGUGGCUCACCAAGGCGACGACGGGUAGCCGGCCUGAGAGGGCGACCGGCCACACUGGGACUGAGACACGGCCCAGACUCCUACGGGAGGCAGCAGUGGGGAAUAUUGCACAAUGGGCGAAAGCCUGAUGCAGCGACGCCGCGUGAGGGAUGACGGCCUUCGGGUUGUAAACCUCUUUCAGCAGGGAAGAAGCGAAAGUGACGGUACCUGCAGAAGAAGCGCCGGCUAACUACGUGCCAGCAGCCGCGGUAAUACGUAGGGCGCGAGCGUUGUCCGGAAUUAUUGGGCGUAAAGAGCUCGUAGGCGGCUUGUCACGUCGGUUGUGAAAGCCCGGGGCUUAACCCCGGGUCUGCAGUCGAUACGGGCAGGCUAGAGUUCGGUAGGGGAGAUCGGAAUUCCUGGUGUAGCGGUGAAAUGCGCAGAUAUCAGGAGGAACACCGGUGGCGAAGGCGGAUCUCUGGGCCGAUACUGACGCUGAGGAGCGAAAGCGUGGGGAGCGAACAGGAUUAGAUACCCCUGGUAGUCCACGCCGUAAACCGGUGGGCACUAGGUGUGGGCAACAUUCCACGUUGUCCGUGCCGCAGCUAACGCAU